rnacentral:rRNA from 1 species
AUUGAACGCUGGCGGCAGGCCUAACACAUGCAAGUCGAGCGGAUGAGGGGAGCUUGCUUCCCGAUUUAGCGGCGGACGGGUGAGUAAUGCCUAGGAAUCUGCCUAUUAGUGGGGGACAACAUCUCGAAAGGGAUGCUAAUACCGCAUACGUCCUACGGGAGAAAGCAGGGGAUCACUUGUGACCUUGCGCUAAUAGAUGAGCCUAAGUCGGAUUAGCUAGUUGGUGGGGUAAAGGCCUACCAAGGCGACGAUCUGUAGCGGGUCUGAGAGGAUGAUCCGCCACACUGGGACUGAGACACGGCCCAGACUCCUACGGGAGGCAGCAGUGGGGAAUAUUGGACAAUGGGCGGAAGCCUGAUCCAGCCAUGCCGCGUGUGUGAAGAAGGCCUUUUGGUUGUAAAGCACUUUAAGCGAGGAGGAGGCUCUUAAGGUUAAUACCCUUGAUGAGUGGACGUUACUCGCAGAAUAAGCACCAGCUAACUCUGUGCCAGCCGCCGCGGUAAGAC